rfam:Camelus ferus unplaced genomic scaffold scaffold852, whole genome shotgun sequence.
GAGGAUAUAGCUCAAGUGGUAGAACAUAUGCUUAGUGUGCAUGAGGUCCUGGGUUCAAUCCCCAGUAUUCCCU